GAUAUAUGGAAUUAUAACUCCAAGACUACUUAGCUUCUGUUUUCUGAAAGAGCUUCCAAGUAUGGGACUUGUACAAAUAGCAUCACAGCACUCAGCAAUAUGGACUGUCUCAUGUCAAGAUGUUAUUUCACCUGACUCUGGGAUGCUUUUCAGUAUUUAUGAGCUCUGCACAAAUUCCAUACUACUCUUCAAGAAAAUGAUGUGAAAUAUGUUACAAAGGACUAGAAAGGAGGAAGGGACAGCGGACAGUAAUGGAAAGUGACUCUGAAAGAAGUCAGGUACCUAUGGGAAAUA